rnacentral:lncRNA from 1 species
CUAAGACCUAAAUGCAUGUGUUUUCAGUUCACAUUUAUUUGAUGACUAGUUCUUUCUAUUUAUUGCCUUCAAAUCAUAAUCAGGUGAGGAACAUCUUAUCUGAUAGAACAGUUUCCUGCAUUGUGUAUUUAGUGUAAACAAUGUUUUUGUUUUGUUUUGUUUUGUUUUGUUUUGUUUUUCUGAACAUGUGGGUUUGAUGAUAUUUUUUAAGGAUUUCUCCAAUUUCCCUCCAGCCUCUCCAUGCCGUGGCUCCAAAGAAAUAAGGAGAGCAAUAAAAUGAGAAACAUGGAGAACCUUUAGAUUGCUCUGCUUGAUACCUGUUAGUACUUGUCUCGCGUGCUAGUCAGAGUUUUGGUUGUUUUGACUGGAUCCAGUUGCCAUGUUACAUGCCCUUUUCAGCGCCAUUAGUCUCUGGAUGAUGAUUGAUUGCUAUUCUGAGCUUCAAGCAUACACAGCUAUUAAUCCCACGUCCACGGUAGUGGGUCUCCUACAGUCAAGUGUGACAUCCCAGGCUUCUGGCUUGGCACUUGGACAUGUUCUCAAUCAGACUCACAGCUCCACCAGAUCCACAGCCAAGAACAGGAAUUUGGAAAACCUCACCUCCAGACCAUACUUGUGACUGCUGUCUACAUUUUGCAUUUGUGAAUUCCCUCAGAUAUGCCAACACAAAGAAGACUUUUUAGUCUCCUGUGUCUCACCUAUGUCAUGAUUCAGAACUGAGACAAAGAGCUGACUAAAAUGCUGGAGAAAGCAGUAUCUACCAGGUAUCAUCUUUGUGCACCACUUGCCUCACAGUAAGUACUGCAAAGCAACCAGGAUGGUACCACCUGAGAAAGGGGAGUGGUGCACCACUUUUUCAGAACAGACUAACAGCUAGGGAAUUCCCUUGGGAAAGAAGACAGGAGAUUCUCAUGUCAGGUGUUUAUUCUCAAGAGUAUUUCUCUUUUUCUUAUUAGCCUCAAAGAAGAUGUACGUGUAUAAUUGAUCUGUGGAGAGCAGGCACAGGUCUGUCCUUACUCAUCAAGCAAGGUGUCCGCAUCACUAU